rnacentral:lncRNA from 13 species
GGAUAUCUGAUCUGAUUAAAUGCAUAGAAAUAGAAUUAAUUAAGACAAUGAUUCAUCCGUUCUAUUCAUUACUUUUCUAUGCAUUUAAUCUGAUCCGAUAGGCGAAAUCCAGAUAAUAAUAAAAAAAAACUGGGCCCAGAAGAUUAAUUUGAAAGCCACACCCAUGACAUUGAAUGGAGGCUGAACACGUUGAACAAUUAUGAGUUUCAGAGGGUGUGUCUUGUCAGAAUGAACGAGCCCACUCUAAUGUUACAUUUAGUCCAGACGAGUUUCAGGUAUUGUCCUUGAUAUUGGCCAACGCGCCUCUCUUGCCCCUUCUCUUGGGGUCGCGUUCGUCGGGGAUUGUUGUUAGUUCACCAAGGGGGUGUCGCCAUGGGGGAUGUUAUUUCCACUCACCUGGACGAGGGCAAGCGAGAGAUGAUUACAGCUCGUGCCAGGCAGGUGAUGGGGGAGUUUGGCCAUGUGUACAAGGAGCAGUAUNNNNNNNNNNNNNNNNNNNNNNNNNNNNNNNCUUGUAAAAACGUGGGCACAAUCAGAACGUGGACAAGAUCAGGACGAAGGAUGCUAGUUAGCACCAGGUAUAAACCGGGCUAAAGUAGGCCAAUUAUUUCCCUACUACUGCAAGAGUAUAGUACGUCACUGUUCAUAGUAAUAUACACACUACCUAAUACUAAAAAAAAUAAAGCCUAGCCAGUUGAUAUAAUAGUGAACCCUUCCUCCUCUCAUAAGUCUGACUGUAUUUUAGUCUGGUAAAGAGCGAGGGCAGAAACCAGACGGUAGCUGUAGCUUCUAAAGAUGUCCAAAGCUGCAGUUUCAGAAGGAAAGAGAGAAGCAAGUAAGUACAGAAGAAAAAGCAGGU